rnacentral:misc_RNA from 1 species
UGGUGCCCGGCUUGGCU